rnacentral:rRNA from 1 species
AGUGGCGGACGGGUGAGUAACACGUAAGAAUUUGCCUUUAGGAGGGGGACAACAACUAGAAAUGGUUGCUAAUACCCCAUAUGCUUUCGAGUGAAAUGGAUUUUUCCGCCUAGAGAGAAGCUUGCGGCUGAUUAGCUUGUUGGUGAGGUAAUGGCUCACCAAGGCGACGAUCAGUAUCUGGUUUGAGAGGACGAUCAGACACACUGGAACUGAGACACGGUCCAGACUCCUACGGGAGGCAGCAGUGGGGAAUUUUCCGCAAUGGGCGAAAGCCUGACGGAGCAAUACCGCGUAAGGGAUGACGGCCUAUGGGUUGUAAACCUCUUUUUUCAGGGAGGAAUCAAUGACGUGUACCUGAAGAAUAAGCAUCGGCUAACUCCGUGCCAGCAGCCGCGGUAAGACGGGGGAUGCAAGUGUUAUCCGGAAUCACUGGGCGUAAAGCGUCUGUAGGUGGUCCAAUAAGUCAACUGUUAAAUCUUGAGGCUCAACCUCAAAAUCGCAGUCGAAACUAUUAGACUAGAGUAUAGUAGGGGUAAAGGGAAUUUCCAGUGGAGCGGUGAAAUGCGUAGAGAUUGGAAAGAACACCGAUGGCGAAGGCACUUUACUGGGCUAUUACUAACACUCAGAGACGAAAGCUAGGGUAGCAAAUGGGAUUAGAUACCCCAGUAGUCCUAGCCGUAAACAAUGGAUACUAGAUGUU